rnacentral:rRNA from 1 species
AUUGAACGCUGGCGGCAGGACUAACACAUGCCAGUCGCGCGGAGCGGCGGACGGGUGAGUAAUGACUAGGAAUCUGCCUGGUAGUGGGGGAGAACGUCUGGAAACGGGAGCUAAUCCCGCAUCCUAUCAGAUGAGCAUAGGUCGGAUUAGCUAGUUGGUGGGGUAAAGGCCUACCAGGGCGACGAGCCGUAACUGGUCUGCGAGGAUUAUCAGUCAAACUGGAACUAGGACACGGUCCAGACUCCGACGGGAGGCAGCAGUGGGGAAUAUUGGACAAGGGGCGAAAGCCUGAGCCAGCCAUGCCGCGUGUGUGAAGAAGGUCUUCGGAUUGUAAAGCACUUUAAGUUGGGAGGCGUUACCAACAGAAUAAGCACCGGCUAACUUCGUGCCAGCAGCCGCGGUAAUUC